rnacentral:rRNA from 1 species
GCUGCGGGUAAUACAAUAGGUCGCAAGCAUUUUCCGGGAUUUAUUGGGCGUAAAGCAAGCGCAGGCGGAUGUGUAAGUUCUGUGUUAAAAGUAGCUACUUAAUAGUUGUUUGCACCGAAUACUACAUGUCUAGAAUGUGGUAGGAAGUUUUGGAAUUAAACACGGAGCGGUGGAGUGUGUAGAUAUGUUUAAGAACACCGGAGGCGAAGGCGAAAACUUAGGCCAUAAUUGACGCUUAGGCUUGAAAGUGUGGGGAGCAAAUGGGAUUAGAUACCCCAGUAGUCCACACCGUAAACGAUGGGUAUUAGGUAUUGGGGUUUGAGCCUCAGUGCUGUAGCUAACGUGUUAAAUACCCCGCCUGGGUAGUACAUAUGCAAAUAUGAAACUCAAAGGAAUUGACGGGGACCUGAACAAGUGGUGGAGCAUGUUGCUUAAUUCGAUAAUACACGAAAAACCUUACCAAGGUUUGACAUCCUUCGCAAAGCUAUAGAAAUAUAGUAGAGGUUAUCGGAGUGACAGGUGGUGCAUGGCUGUCGUCAGCUCGUGUCUUGAGAUGUUUGGUUAAGUCCCGCAACGAGCGCAACCCUACUCUUUAGUUAUUUUUCUAAAGAGACUGCACAGUAAUGUAGAGGAAGGUUGGGAUCACGUCAAGUCAUCAUGCCCCUUAUGCCUUGGGCUGCAAACGUGCUACAAUGGCAACCACAAUGUGUUGCAAAUCAGCGAUGAUGAGCUAAUCACUAUAUUUUGUCUCAGUUCGGAUAGAAGGCUGCAAUUCGCCUUCUUGAAGUUGGAAUCACUAGUAAUCCCGUAAGGGCGAAUUCUGCAGAUAUCCAUCACACUGGCGGCCGCUCGAGCAUGCAUCUAGAGGGCCCAAUCGCCC